rnacentral:rRNA from 1 species
GAUGAACGCUGGCGGCGUGCCUAAUACAUGCAAGUCGAGCGAACGGACGAGAAGCUUGCUUCUCUGAUGUUAGCGGCGGACGGGUGAGUAACACGUGGAUAACCUACCUAUAAGACUGGGAUAACUUCGGGAAACCGGAGCUAAUACCGGAUAAUAUUUUGAACCGCAUGGUUCAAAAGUGAAAGACGGUCUUGCUGUCACUUAUAGAUGGGUCCGCGCUGCAUUAGCUAGUUGGUAAGGUAACGGCUUACCAAGGCAACGAUGCAUAGCCGACCUGAGAGGGUGAUCGGCAACACUGGAACUGAGACACGGUCCAGACUCCUACGGGAGGCAGCAGUAGGGAAUCUUCCGCAAUGGGCGAAAGCCUGACGGAGCAACGCCGCGUGAGUGAUGAAGGUCUUCGGAUCGUAAAACUCUGUUAUUAGGGAAGAACAUAUGUGUAAGUAACUGUGCACAUCUUGACGGUACCUAAUCAGAAAGCCACGGCUAACUACGUG